rnacentral:lncRNA from 1 species
UGUUGUUGAAAAGUGUGUGUGUGUGUGAGAGAGAGAGAGAGAUAAGACCACAAGCGAAAGCCAAGUAGCUAUGGAGCCCUCCUAGCCCCUUCGAGCCGAUGCCAAACCCUUUCUUCGAAUAAGUUGAUUGAAUAAUACUAUUUGCAAAAAUCUCACCCUAUUAAACAAGAACUGAUUUUUGCAUGGUAAAAUAUUAAAUAUUUCAAUUUUUUGUAGCACCAUCAAAUAUUAAACAAUAAAUUUAUGUACAAUUAAACAAGUACAUGAUUAAGUCAUGGUAAACAUGUUAAUAAUACUAUAGGCACUAUUCUUCUAAAUUUUUGCAUGGUCAAAAAAUC